rnacentral:rRNA from 1 species
GAUGAACGCUGGCGGCGUGCCUAACACAUGCAAGUCGAGCGAUUCUCUUCGGAGAAGAGCGGCGGACGGGUGAGUAACGCGUGGGUAACUUGCCCUGUACACACGGAUAACAUACCGAAAGGUAUGCUAAUACGAGAUAAUAUACUUUUAUCGCAUGGUAGAAGUAUCAAAGCUCCGGCGGUACAGGAUGGACCCGCGUCUGAUUAGCUAGUUGGUAAGGUAACGGCUUACCAAGGGGACGAUCAGUAGCCGACCUGAGAGGGUGAUCGGCCACAUUGGAACUGAGACACGGUCCAAACUCCUACGGGAGGCAGCAGUGGGGAAUAUUGCACAAUGGGCGAAAGCCUGAUGCAGCAACGCCGCGUGAGCGAUGAAGGCCUUCGGGUCGUAAAGCUCUGUCCUCAAGGAAGAUAAUGACGGUACUUGAGGAGGAAGCCCCGGCUAACUACGUGCCAGCAGCCGCCGUAA